GACGAACCGUGCGAACGUUGUUCGGAAUCACUGGGCUUAAAGGGCGCGUAGGCGGUCAGCACAAGUCAGUUGUGAAAUCUCCGGGCUUAACUCGGAAAGGUCAACUGAUACUGUGCGACUAGAGUGCGGAAGGGGCAACUGGAAUUCUCGGUGUAGCGGUGAAAUGCGUAGAUAUCGAGAGGAACACCUGCGGCGAAGGCGGGUUGCUGGACUGAUACUGACGCUGAGGCGCGAAAGCCAGGGGAGCAAACGGG
rnacentral:rRNA from 1 species